UACAGAGGGGGCAAGCGUUGUUCGGAAUUACUGGGCGUAAAGGGCGCGUAGGCGGCCGCCUAAGUCAGACGUGAAAUCCCUCGGCUCAACCGGGGAACUGCGUCUGAUACUGGGUGGCUUGAAUUCGGGAGAGGGAUGCGGAAUUCCAGGUGUAGCGGUGAAAUGCGUAGAUAUCAAGAGGAACACCUGAGGUGAAGACGGGUUGCUGGGCCAACACUGACGCUGAGGCGCGAAAGCCAGGGGAGCAAACGGG
rnacentral:rRNA from 1 species